rnacentral:lncRNA from 1 species
AGCGGCUCCACUACCGCCACGCGACCUCGUCUUCCUGGCCGGAAGGAGCGCCGCUCUACCUCACUUAAACUAUAGAGUGGCCCCCUAAGGGCAGGCUAUCCAAGCCCCGGGAGGACGUCGACUCUAUGGUCGCUGCCUCCACGCCUUUCUUCCUUUACCCCUUGUCACUCUCUCACCGCCCUCUCCUCGCAACGGUUUAAUUCCAUCUUCAAUCCCCCCAGCUACCGGGUGAAAGGAAACCUUAAUCAGAGCGCUUUUCUUAUUUCCGAGGGGGAGGGAGGUUCAGGCCUGUCGAAGGUCAAGGAACUACAUUUCCCACAAUGCAGUGCAAAACGGGGGCACUUCCGGCGCCCGCCGAGCGCUCCGUCCCCGUCGACGCCAACCUGUCAAUCAAAAGGCAUUGGUGGGCGCCCAGCCUGAACGCUGUACUGAGCGCCCGGGGAAGUAGAACUAAUAAUGUUGAAAACCGUCCCAUUGACGCGAGUAAGGAUUUCUUCCGGCUGAGCUUCAACUGGUUAGUACGGUGCUCCGCACACAGUAAGCGCUUAAUAAAUACCACUGAAUGAAUAACCAGGACCCCAGAGGAGGGGCUUUCCCCUUCCCGAGCCCAAAGGCACCCUUAAUCAGGAGAGCCAAUUGUUUAUUUUGGAUGCGGGGGCGAGGAGUAAAAGGGGACUAGGGAGGAAUCAAUCAGUGGGAUUUAUUGGGCUCUUACUUUGUGCGAGGCACCGUACUGAGCGCUUGGUAGAGUCAAAUACAAGAGAAUUAGCAGACACUGUCCCUGCCCAGAAUGAUCUUACAAAGAAGGAAAGGCCGCAGAGGAAGAUAAAAGAGUUGUCACUUUGCCUAGUGCUUCUUCCCUCCUCGUUUUCUUCCCGGUCCCUUUCCCUUAAUAAUAAUAAUGUUGGUAUUUGUUAAGCGCUUACUAUGUGCAGAGCACUGUUCAAAGCACUGGGGGAAUCAGGUUGUGCCACAUGAGGCUCACAGUCUUAACCCCCAUUUUACAGAUGAAGUAACUGAGGCACAGAGAAGUUAAGUGACUUGCCCACAGUCACAAAGCUGACAAGUGGCAGAGUAGGAUUCGAACCCAUGACCUAAGACUCCCAAGCCCAGG